rnacentral:rRNA from 1 species
GACGAACGCUGGCGGCGUGCCUAAUACAUGCAAGUUGAGCGCUGAAGGUUGGUACUUGUACCGACUGGAUGAGAAGCGAACGGGUGAGUAACGCGUGGGGAAUCUGCCUUUGAGCGGGGGACAACAUUUGGAAACGAAUGCUAAUACCGAAUAAAAACUUUAAACACAAGUUUUAAGUUUGAAAUAUGCAAUUGCAUCACUCAAAGAUGAUCCCGCGUUGUAUUAGCUAGUUGGUGAGGUAAAGGCUCACCAAGGCGAUGAUACAUAGCCGACCUGAGAGGGUGAUCGGCCACAAUGGGACUGAGACACGGCCCAAACUCCUACGGGAGGCAGCAGUAGGGAAGCUUCAGCAAUGGACGAAAGUCUGAACGAGCAACGCCGCGUGAGUGAAGAAGGGUUUCGGAUCGUAAAACUCUGUUGGUAGAGAAGAAUGUUGGUGAGAGUGGAAAGCUCAUCAAGUGACGGUAACUACCCAGAAAGGGACGGCUAACUACGUG